AGUGAACGCUGGCGGUAGGCCUAACACAUGCAAGUCGAACGGCAGCACAGAGGAGCUUGCUCCUUGGGUGGCGAGUGGCGGACGGGUGAGGAAUACAUCGGAAUCUACUCUGUCGUGGGGGAUAACGUAGGGAAACUUACGCUAAUACCGCAUACGACCUACGGGUGAAAGCAGGGGAUCUUCGGACCUUGCGCGAUUGAAUGAGCCGAUGUCGGAGUAGCUAGUUGGCGGGGUAAAGGCCCACCAAGGCGACGAUCCGUAGCUGGUCUGAGAGGAUGAUCAGCCACACUGGAACUGGGACACGGUCCAGACUCCUACGGAAGGCAGCAGUGGGGAAUAUUGGGCAAUGGGCGCAAGCCUGAUCCAGCCGUACCGCGUGGGUGAAGAAGGCCUUCGGGUUGUAAAGCCCUUUUGUUGGGAAAGAAAUCCAUCUGGUUAAUACCCGGGUGGGAUGACGGUACCCAAAGAAUAAGCACCGGCUAACUUCGUGCCAGCCGCCGCCGUAA
rnacentral:rRNA from 1 species